AAAAAUUUUAAUAAUACUCCAAUAAUAUUAACAGAAUAAUACAAAGAUAAUACGAAAUCUGAAUAAUCACUCCCAAAAGAUCUGGGUCACGAUUCUAUAUCCACUAAACAAAACUGGAUAAUAAUAUCUUAAUAGAAAAUAGAAGUCUGGGGAUGUAUAUAAUAUUAAUAAAUUGAAAUAUGAAGAGAAGCCAGGUCUUGCGAACGUCAAGCAGCUACCUCAACGACUCUAAAAAUAUCUGGAGACUACGAGUGCUCAUCUAAGCCUCCAAUGUACCUGAAUCUGCACACAAGGUGCAGGGAGUAGGGGUGAGUACUACCGACUCAGUGAGUAAUAACCAUAAAAAUGUCUGAAGAUAAGAAAUCCACAAAAUACCACAAAGUAAAGCUAAAACUAACAGACUGACACCUUAACUACGAAGUAACAACAAAGCAAUAUAAAAUAUAUCAGUCAAGUAUCAUGCAAAUAUGUAAUGCAAUGCACAUGAAUCCGCUGCGGCGUACAACCUAUACGUUUAAUGUCGGCGGCGCUCACUGGGGGUGUGUACAGACAGCAAAGCUAACACUAACAGUCCGACACCUUAACUACAAACUAACACCAAAGCAAUAUCAGAUAUAACAGACAAGUAUCAUGUAAAGAUGCAAUGCAAUGCACAUGAAUCCGUUGCGCAUACAUGCCGAUCCGUUUAUCGUCGACGGCGCUCACUGGGGGUGUGUACAGACUCCGGAGGGGCUCCUUCAGCCCAAGCGCAAUAUCAUCAUAUCACUGCUGAGGCAUGCAACCUGACUCGUACUGAUCCACAAUAUGCAUAUAAGUCACAUAACAUAACAGAGCAGAUGUAACAGAGAUCAAGAAACAGAUGGUAGAUCAACUGUCAAUUUCAACUGAUAAGUCAAGCCAGCAGUGUAACAGAGGAAAUGCAGUUUCUCCAGCUAUAUUGAUGCAGCAAUCCAACAUUUUGACAAAUCCAAAUUCAGUAGUUUCAGAGGCAAUGCCAACUCCAAAUGAAACUGAUGAAUCUCUUGAUCAGUCAAUGACAAUUGCAGAUAAUGCUCAAAAAGCUAAGGCUGCUGACAGUGGAAAAAAAUCCAAGAUUUCUGUCUCAUUAAAGUCAAUUAGCAGGACAGAUUUUGAACUCUCGAUGACAAACAGUUCAUAUGCUUUUGGCUCAAUAUCUGGUCUCAAAAAUGACCAUGAAAAGCAGAGUUCAUCUGAUGUUCUAGCUGGACAAUAUUUCAGAUGCAAGGCCUUGCAAUCCUCUGGGACGAACACAAAUGCUGAUGAUGCAGAAUUUCUGUUAGGAUCAUCUCAAGCUGUUACUCGAGCUGAUCAACAACUUUCAACAGUUGAAUAUGCUAAACAAUCUGGUCAAGACACAACACCUACUGGACAAGGGAUGCAAGAAAAAUUUUCAGCUAAUGGAACAGUUGAUUAUGCUAAUGAUUCAAUUGUUACUCGAGCUGAUCAACAAUAUUCAACAUUUGAAUCUGCUAAACAAGCUGAUCCAGUCACAAUUCCUACUGGACAUGGGAUGCAAGAAAGUCAAAAAUCAGCAAGUUCAAAUUUGAAUGUGAGUGGAGUAAUUGAAGGCCAAACUGCUCGACAGUUUUCAGCUAAUGGAACAGUUCAAACUGUUGUUCAUGAUGCAUAUCAGCUGAAACUGUCGAUAUCAGACGCCCAAACUGUAACAGUUGAUUAUGAUAAUGAUUAAAUUGCUACUCGAGCUGAGCAACAACUUUCAACAUUUGAAUCUGCUAAACAAGCUGAUCCAGUCACAAUACCUACUGGACAUGGGAUGCAAGAAAGUCAAAAAUCAGCAAUUCCAAAUUUGAAUGUGAGUGGAUUAGUUGAAGGCCAAACUGAUCGACAGUCUUCAGCAAAUGGAACAGUUCAAACUGUUGUUCAUGAUUCAUUUCAGCUGAAAGCCUCGACAUCUGAUUCCCAAAAUGUCCAAAAGGAUCAAGGAAUGUUGAUGAAUGCAGAAUUGUAUUAUCCAGUUCUCAAGCAGAGCGUGCAGCAUGGACAGCAGAAUGAUGCCGAAGGAAUGCAGCAGAAUAGUCAAAUGAAAGGUUCGACAUCUGAUCCCCAAACUGUCCAAGAUGGUCAAGGAAUGUUGAUGACAGCAGAAUUGAAUUCACAGUCAUGCAACAAUGUUGCUGCUGAUCCAGUCGCGCUCGCUAAUAUUGAUAAACAUGACGACAAAAUGAUGGGAGGGGUGAUCCAGAAGGUUCAAAGUUAUACUCCCCUCUCUAUAUCUAGUGCAUAUAGCGGGGAAGAUCUAAAUGAUAGCGAGGAAUUUUCAAGUCUCGGGGGUAAGAGCAAACAACUCAUUGUAGCUAACAUGAGGGACAUGGUUAUUAAGUCGAAACUUUGGGACCAACAGCAUUAUGAAGAUGAUGAAAGUUUGGAUGAAGGUUCCGGGGGAUGGUCAUCUGAUGAAGAAAGACAUCAAGAAGAUUGUGAUAGAUCAGAAGAAGACAGCAAUGCAUCGUCCAAAUCAAUUGUUCUAAAGAAAAAUGCAGAUUUGACUGGGAUGGAAAAACAGUCUAAUCUAGGUAGCAAAUUGAAUCAUAAUGCUCAGGUUUUCAUUCCUAAAAAGGUUUCAACAGCAGAUCUUUUGAAGACAAAACCAUCAUCACUAGCUGCUGAAAAAGAAAACCCCUCCACUGCACCUCUGAAUCUAGUAGCAUGUCCGAAAGUAGCACAAAAUCAGCUUAUAUGUACUCAAUCGCUAAUAUCUCAUGACCAAUCUCUUCUCCAGAAAAAUCACAUUUUUGAAGAAGGCGAGGAGGAGGAUAUCUUAGCGCAAUGCCGGAAAAGUGCUGCAAGAAUGGGGGAUUUGUCACCAACACACAGUAAAGCUGUUAAAAAGAUCCAUCAAAGGGGUAAAAGCUGGGACGGCAAGAUAGUUGAGGCCCCAAACAUAAGGAAGCUCCCAAUGAGAAUUGCAAAACAAAAACAGCUCAAUCAUACAACCUCCGCAAAAUCUAGCAAAUCAAAAUCCAAACCAUGAAUUACCCAAAUAUUGCAACCUUCCGUCUUAAAACCCACUCGACAGAGGAACAAGCGGGACGUUUAAAGACUUUUGGAGUCAACACUACACAUAGUUGAAGAAAAGAAAUCAAUUAUGCUUUCUUACCUAUCUCUUUAAUGUUUAUUUUCUCGCUUUUAUUUUAUGAGUCUUUUUUCAGCAUCGAUAGGUUGUAUAAGGUCUGGUCGCUAUGUGCUUGUUAUAUGGGUAACAACUCUGGCGUCCCCCUCGUAUAAACCUAUCUUUGUAUUUUUCUUAAUAGGUCGAAUACGGGAAGGUUGACACCCUUUCUCGUUAUUCACCUAUUUGUACUAUUUUACUUUCAUUAAUAAAAUUUCAAAAUUUGCUCAAAAAAAAAUUCAAUCUAUUUUUUUCAAUUUCCAAUUAUUAAGGUGAAUGUAAUUUAGUUAAUUAAUUUCAGGUAGAAGGUGACUUAGCAUUUAAUAACAGUGAUAAAACACAAGACUGAGAUUAAUGAUUACGCAAAUCAUGUUAUCAAAAAGAUAUUCAUCCUAGACGGAUGCUACAGAUCGGCACAAGGCCCCAAACAUGGCAAUAAGCCUAAUUAUCAACAAUACAAUGUGCGUAUCAGCCUCCAAUAAUUAUAUUUAGCUCUCGAGAUGGACCAAGUCACAAUCCCCAAUCAUAUACAAUCCCGCACCUGCCAUGGGGUGCGAGUCACACCCUAACAUAGCGUAACGAUGUGAUAAACUGUGGUUUCAAACCCUCAUGCCAUCAUCUAUACAAACUACUCACCUCUAACCGCUCGUAGACUGGUCCGCAAUACCUUUUGCCUUUGAAUCUCCGUCUACGCGUGUCGAAUCUAGCCAAAAUCACAACGAAUACGUCAUUAUAGGCUAAAUAAACACAAUACAAUUAAAAUUAUUCGAAAAAGCUAAAAAUAACGAAGUUGGUAAAACCCGAGCACUGGGCCCACUUCUCAAAAAAGUCCGAAAAUUACAUCAUCGGAUUCCGCAUCUCGCCACGAGUCCGUACAUAUAAGGUUUGUAAAAAAUGGAGUUCAAAUGGCCUUUCAAAUCCCCAAAAUUCGUUUUCAAAAAUCAAGCCCUAGUUAUUCACAAUUUCAACCUAUUUUUACGGAUUUGAGGGUUGAUUCUUCAUAAAAAUGGUGUUUUUAAGUCAAAAGACUUACCUCCAAUCACUUUCUGUUGAAAAUCCUCUUCAAAUCGCUCAAACUUCUCUCUUGGUGGAGAAAAAAUGGUGGGAAAAGUGUUGGGUUCGUGACUGAAAGAGCCCUUAAAAUCAUUUUGUCCAGCUGAACAAUCCUUCUUCGCGAACGCGAGGCCCUUCCGCAUUCGCGAUGACCAAAUCCACAGGGCUAAUUUUCCUUCUUCGCAAACUUGUGGCCCCUCUGCGUUUGCAAUAGCCAAAAUACCAGAUGCUCAAUUUUACCCUUAGCGAACGCGUUGCCUUCACGCGAAUGCGAAGGUGUGGCUCCUUCUUCCACGCAAACGCGACCCCUUCACGCGAUCGCGAAGCACUAGACCAGGCCCUUCCCAAAUGACCCCUACGCGAAUGGGUCCAGCCUAUGCGAACGCGAAGGCCAAUGGACCCCAGGCCUACGCGAAUGCGAGGCACCCCUGCGAAUGCGAAGGCCAAGCUUUACCUGCAACAGUUGCUGCAAUUUAUGUAGCACAAACCAACCUCCGAACUCCCCGUUAGCCAUCCGAAAUCACCCCGAGGCCCUCGUGACCUCAACCAAAAGUACAGAUACAUCUUAUUACUUCAUUCAAACUAUCUCCUAACAUAAAAAUACUAUCAGAAACAUCAAAAUCAUCAAAAUCAUCAAAUUACCACGGAUUCAAGCCUAAGUUAAACUAAAACUUCCGAAACUUGCAUUUGAUCAAAAACCCAACCUAAACACCUCCGAAUGAUCUGAUAAUUUGCACACAUAUCAAAAAUCACCUAACGGAGCUACUGCAACUGUCAUAAUUCCAUUCCGACCCCAGAUCAAAAUCUCACCUAUCAACCAAAAUUCGCCAAAAUUCAAACUUAGCCAAUUCAAGCCUAAUUCUACACCAGGCCUCCAAAUUCAGUUCC
rnacentral:lncRNA from 1 species